GGGCCCGUAGCGCAGUCCGGAUAGCGCGGCGUCAACCGUAAGGGUUGCCGCAGGCCUCCUAAGCCGUCGGUCGUGGGUUCGAAUCCCACCGGGCCCGCCA
rnacentral:tRNA from 1 species